GGCGAGGUAGCUCAGGCGGUUAGAGCGCAGGAUUCAUAACCCUGAGGUCGGGAGUUCAAGUCUCCCUCUCGCUACAA
rnacentral:tRNA from 1 species